rnacentral:rRNA from 1 species
GACGAACGCUGGCGGCGUGCUUAACACAUGCAAGUCGAACGGAAAGGCCCUGCUUUUGUGGGGUGCUCGAGUGGCGAACGGGUGAGUAAAACGUGAGUAACCUGCCCUUAUCUUUGUGAUAACUUCAGGAAACUGGGGCUCAUACCGGAUAGGAUCUCUUGCUGCAUGGUGGUGGUUGGUAAGUUUCGGCGGUUGGGUAUGGUCUCGCGGCUUACGAGCUUCUUUGUGGGGUAGUGGCUUACCAAGGCUUUGACGGGUAGGCGGCAUGAGAGGGUGACCAGCCACAUGGGGCCUGAGAGAGGGAGCAGACUGCAACGGGAGGCAGCAGGGGGGAGUCUUGCAGAAUGGGGGCAAGCGAGAUGCAGCAACGCCGCGUGCGGGAUGACGGCUUUCUAGGUGUAAACCGCUUUCGCCUGUGACGAAGCGUGAGUGACGGUAAUGGGUAAAGAAGCACCGGCUAACUACGUG